rnacentral:tRNA from 1 species
GCCUGGGUGGCUCAGUUGGUUGAGUGUCUGACUUCAGCUCAGGUCAUGAUCUCGUGGUCUGUGAGUUCGAGCCCCACAUCGGGCU